AAUUUUGUUUUUAGUUUUCGAAAAUGUUCUCCGCAAUUCGAUUGUUGUCACUUAUUAUAAAGUCAUCUGACUUUCGAUAACUAAACAGGCUGAAAAGUUUGGAAAAGCAUUUGGGGUAGAACGCAAUGUCCAACAUCACGUCAACCUGCACCUGCACACUUGUCACCUGCAGGUGUAUCGCCGGCCGCCAUCUAAGAUUUAGUAUCAACCAUUAACCAUCCAAUUGGCAAGCUCUCAAUACAUUUUGCACACAACUACACACACACACACAAAUCUCGGACUUGCCUUGAAGCUUAAUGAUGAAAUUAUAGUCAAGAAUGUCUUCAAGUCGAAAUCAAGAGAGAGAGCCCCGCCCCUAUUGGGGGGAAAAAAACCCGCUCGACUUGCUUUAAUAUAUGUAGCUGAUUAUGCUGCAAAAUGUAUAUAAACAAAUCAAUUGAAUUGAAAUUAAUUGAACUAAAGAAAACGAUGGCCAUAGAGCGAUGAAGGCAGGCUUAAAAAAUUUAAUUGCCUUCAUUUGCCAAGUGAACUGGCAAGUGGGUGGAGUCAAGGUAAUCGAGAAUGAGUAAAUAACAUCGACCCUUUUUUUUCAAAUGAAACAAUAUAUCCAAAGUAUGGCCUAGCGCAUAUGUACAUGGUUACAUGCAUACAUGAUGAUGGACGACGACGAUGAAGAUUCCCAAAUGCCGCACCCAUCCCAUUCCAGCACCAACCACCAACACCAGCAUCAUCAUCAUCAUCAUCAUGGUCAUCAGCUUUAGAAACAUCUUCAGCAGCAUCUUUUGGCGACCCAUAGCCGGUUGACUGGUAACAAACUUUCCAUUCCCGUUGGCUGACUGAAAAAUGUUAUCAAAUCACAGCACACAAACGAGCAACGAAGACUACAACGACGACCACAAAACUAAGCAAGCCAAUUUUCAGCUCAUAUUAACCCGCAGCACAAAGGCCAAACACCAAGAGCAUCAUGGCAAGAGAACCUGAACCUGACUCGGACUCAGAUUCAGAUUCAGACUAAGACCCGGAAUCGGACUUGGAGUUGGAGUUGAAGUUGGACUGAGACUCGGACCCCAAUUCAACUUUCUCACGCACUUCAAAUUUCAAUUGGCAAUAAAUGUAAUGCAAAGCAACACUUUAAAUCAUUUGCAGAGUCGAGGCCAACGCCAACACCAGCAAAACACCAAUGAGUAGGAGCUAGAAAUACAUUGCAUACGGCAAGGGGUGAAGGCACUGCAAGCAAUGAAGUUGCGGCAAUCAAAGAGUACUCUGUUUUGGAGUAGAGAUGGAAAUUAUGAGAACAAGUGCCAAGACCAAAACGAAAAUUGACUUCAAUUUGCCGCAGUAAUGGAACUGUAACGAAAUACAAAUUGAUGACUUCUAUCGAUAUUUCAAUGAACAAGAAUACAUUCUAACCGAAAGUAUUGGCCUUGAUGGAGUUGAAGAAAAAAACAUACAUACAUACAAACACAUAUAUUAAUAUAUUCACAGAUCUUUAUCGAUAUAAUUGACUGUAUAAUAGGUAACCGAUUAAUUUCAAAUCAUCUGUGCGAUAUCCCUAGCUAUCACAUCUCUGGCUACCAUCUCUAGGUCCAGACUUGUACGUCUAUUGGAUUGGCUCCUCAAUUCGAAUCAGAAACGGGUAAUUAAACGUUUGCCUCUAAUUGCCAUUUCUUUUAUAUGCACAAAAAUUUGUCUAGUCAUAAAAGCCAACAUCACAAGGAAUUUGCAAAUUCAAUCGACUUACCGCUAAUGCACUCAUAAAUCCACCACUCUGCGAGGGGUUAUCGGUCGUGGGUUGCCGAUGCUUUGGGAGUAGGAGUGGGAGUGCAAGUGGGAGGGUGGACCUAAAUACAUUAAAUUAUAUAGUAUGUUGGAAGGCUUAAGCACACGUUCGUACAACAAAUUUUAUAGACAAACGCAUUAACUGAGAGUAAACGAACCCAAAACGAACAUUGA